UCACGUCCUUUCUAGACGAUCAUCAGGCGAUUUUGUUCACGAUUUUGUUACUGAUUACGCAAUCACGUAAUCAGUAACAAAAUCGUGAACAAAAUCGCCUGAUGAUCGUCUAGAAAGGACGUG